AGUGUGUGCUGUUCGAGCUUGGAGUUAAGGCUGUAAGUUGGCAGAUAAACCUGCCAGUGUAGAUGGUGGUUGGCCAAGGCAAAGGUUUUCACUAACACUCUCCUCUGGCUCAGUAAGUGGAGUUGGAUAGUAAACUGUGCUACAAAG
rnacentral:snoRNA from 1 species